rnacentral:lncRNA from 1 species
GUCUUCAAGUGCAGAAACUGGAACAGCAGCCCAGUCGUUCGCCUGCUCUGGUUCCUGGUUGCAUUGAACUGAACAGCUUUGCUCCACUCGUCACCAUGAUGCUCGUGCCUUGGAGCCGGGCAGCCAUGGACUGAGCUCUCUGGAACUAUGAGUCACACAAAUGUCCUCUCCGUUUCACUGUGGGUAUCAGGGAUUUUCCCCAUCAACGAGAAGCUGAGCAACAUAGCACCUUCAGAUUUUCAGGAAAACGCCUCAGAAAAGCAUCUCAUUUCAUCCAGGCUUGUUGUGAACUGCCGACAUCCGUCACUGUUGCCACAUGGAAUCUCCCACUUCCCAGCAAAACAAGCAGAAUUGUCCAAGGGCUUCAUCUUCAGGCACAGGACACACAACAGAUCUCCUGUAUUGGUCCCGACUGGAAGACUUACUUGGUGUACAAGUGAUUAGCCCUUUGUCAGGUGGAAUGAAAGCAGAUACCCACAGGAAGAUGAAAGCUCAGCAAUGAAGAGACUCGUCACAUGUCACAUAACCAGUCAUUUGUAAACCAGAGCUAGAGCCAACCCCCGACCUCUCAGCCAGAGCUCUUUCUGCUAUGUGUGUUUAUCAGGGCCUCAACUUGUAUCAUCAUUUUAACAAGACCCCUCUGAAGUGCUGUGCUUUAACAGAAGACUGCUGCAAAGUGUGGGAACUGUGGGCAUCCUA